UACGUAUGGUGCAAGCGUUAUCCGGAUUUACUGGGUGUAAAGGGAGUGUAGACGGUUGUGUAAGUCUGAUGUGAAAGCCCGGGGCUCAACCCCGGGACUGCAUUGGAAACUAUGUAACUAGAGUGUCGGAGAGGUAAGCGGAAUUCCUAGUGUAGCGGUGAAAUGCGUAGAUAUUAGGAGGAACACCAGUGGCGAAGGCGGCUUACUGGACGAUCACUGACGUUGAGGCUCGAAAGCGUGGGGAGCAAACAGG
rnacentral:rRNA from 1 species